rnacentral:rRNA from 1 species
GACGAACGCUGGCGGCGUGCCUAAUACAUGCAAGUUGAGCGAUGAAGCUUGGUGCUUGCCCCAAUUUGAAGAGCAGCGAACGGGUGAGUAACGCGUGGGGAAUCUGCCUUUGAGCGGGGGACAACAUUUGGAAACGAAUGCUAAUACCGCAUAACAACUUUAAACAUAAGUUUUAAGUUUGAAAGAUGCAAUUGCAUCACUCAAAGAUGAUCCCGCGUUGUAUUAGCUAGUUGGUGAGGUAAAGGCUCACCAAGGCGAUGAUACAUAGCCGACCUGAGAGGGUGGUCGGCCAAAUUGGGACUGAGACAAGGCCCAAACUCCUACGGGAGGCAGCAGGAGGGAAACUUCGGCAAUGGACGAAAGUCUGACCGAGCAACGCCGCGUGAGUGAAGAAGGUUUUCGGAUCGUAAAACUCUGUUGGUAGAGAAGAACGUUGGUGAGAGUGGAAAGCUCAUCAAGUGACGGUAACUACCCAGAAAGGGACGGCUAACUACGUG